GAUUUACAGAACUAGAAGUCAAAACUUAUAAAGAAAUUCUAGUCCAUUUGAACGACAGUGCCGGUAGACUGUAGAAGCAUCGGUUGACAUUCACCUGCGUUAUUUUCACACGAUGGACAGCAGACCAAAUAAGCAUGCUGUUGGGAGACGACUGUAUGGAAUACAACUCAAAAUACAAGUACCAGGAGUGUGAAGUCUUCAGAAAUAAAAACAAAUUCUAGCUAAGUCUUCAAGAAAUAAAAACAAAUUCUAGCUAAUAAUCCAGAGCUUAGUUAAUUAUUAUUCAAUAAUUUACUGGACCAAACAAAACA